GACGAACGCUGGCGGCGUGCCUAAUACAUGCAAGUCGAACGCAGUGGGGACGGGUGAGUAACACGUGGGUAACCUCCCAUCAGAGGGGAUAACACUUGGAAACAGGUGCUAAACCGAUACUGAUGGAUGGACCCGCGGUGCAUUAGCUAGUUGGUGAGGUAACGGCUCACCAAGGCCACGAUGCAUAGCGGACCUGAGAGGGGGAUCGGCCACACUGGGACUGAGACACGGCCCAGACUCCUACGGGAGGCAGCAGUAGGGAAUUGUAGACAAUGGAGGAAAGUCUGACCGAGCAACGCCGCGUGAGUGAAGAAGGUUUUCGGAUUGUAAAAUACUGUUGUUAGAGAAGCGGUAUCUAACCAGAAAGCCACGGCUAACUACGUGCCAGCAGCCGCGGUAAUAC
rnacentral:rRNA from 1 species